rnacentral:misc_RNA from 1 species
UGGUGGAUGGACUCAAGUUUAUGGUGAAAUCCUCUCAUUUGCCACAAUAAGAGGUGCUUCUCAUGAGGCCCCAUACUCGCAGCCUGAGAGAUCACUGGUGCUAUUCAAGUCAUUUCUUGAAGGUCAACAUCUAUCAGAAGUUUUCUGAUGUUCUGGUGAUGCCCAAAGUCAUAUGAUGUUGAGAUAUUGUAUUGUAUGUAUCAAGUAACAUAUAUUAGUUAUAAUAGUCACUAAAGCAUUCUUUUGUCUUUGCAAAAAAAGAAAAAAAAAAUCAUAUAUGAGUGUGAUUAUGAGAGUUUCUCAAUGUAAUGGAUCUUUGAACUGCAGAAAUUUUGUGAGUAUUACGAGUAGAUUGGAUUAAGUAAAAUGUGAACUCAGAUUUGACACUA